CUAACAGAUACUACUAAUAAGAAUGGACAGGGUAUAUGUUCCCCCAUAAGUAUUUCUUUUCUUUCCUUCCCUCUUUUUUCUCAUCAUAAUUCUUAUUUUUCUUUUCCUCUUGUUUGGGUCAUCCUCUGACAAUCUCUUACAAUGUGAAUGGUAGUAAACUCUGGUCACCAUUGUGUUUUUUUUCUAUAUACAGCCAUGUCCAAUUGGCCACUGCUGCAAUCCCCAGCCAACAUCUGAUGGUUCUGUUGUCUCCAUCCUGUCCAGUUUCAACUUCCAUCAUAUAAGACCAACUCCCAGUUGACUCAGACUUUCUUACUGAAUGCUGGAGCCCAGUGUUCCCACUGCCCUACCAUUCAAUUAUGCUGUAGGGGGUAUCAGUAUCUUCUUUCAGCAGGACUUAGCAAAAGACUUACCUAUUACUUUAGAGAUUGGAUGGUCCAGUCUAGUGGAAAGAACAUUUCCAUGAGAAUCUGACAUCUUGGAUUUAAAUUUCAGACUGUAUGCAAGGUAAGCCAUGGUUACUUAAACCUCUCUGUUUCCCAAAUUCAAUACAGUGCUUAUAAGUUUCGAUUCAUGAGUUAUUGAGAGAAUUAAAUAAAACAUGCAAAAGUGUUUUGAGGUUUACA
rnacentral:lncRNA from 1 species